CCGCGUGAGUGAAGAAGGCCUUCGGGGUUGUAAAGCUCUUUCAGCUGGAACGAAACGGUACGCUCUAACAUAGCGUGCUAAUGACGGUACCAGCAGAAGAAGCACCGGCUAACUACGUGCCAGCAGCCGCGGUAAUACGUAGGGUGCGAGCGUUAAUCGGAAUUACUGGGCGUAAAGCGUGCGCAGGCGGAUUGUUAAGCAAGAUGUGAAAUCCCCGGGCUUAACCUGGGAAUGGCAUUUUGAACUGGCAGUCUAGAGUGCGUCAGAGGGGGGUGGAAUUCCACGUGUAGCAGUGAAAUGCGUAGAGAUGUGGAGGAACACCGAUGGCGAAGGCAGCCCCCUGGGAUGACACUGACGCUCAUGUACGAAAGCGUGGGUAGCAAACAGGAUUAGAUACCCUGGUAGUCCACGCCCUAAACGAUGUCAACUGGUUGUUGGGGGAGUGAAAUCCCUUAGUAACGAAGCUAACGCGUGAAGUUGACCGCCUGGGGAGUACGGUCGCAAGAUUA
rnacentral:rRNA from 1 species